rnacentral:tmRNA from 6 species
GGGGGCGAAAGGGCUCGACGGGGGUUAUGAGGCUCAGGUUGCAUGUCGUGGUUCCGUCACCACGUAAAAAGGCGGAAACAAACACAAAAGCCAAUAACGAACUGGCACUCGCUGCUUAAUUAAAUAAGCAGCACGCUGCCCUGAAAUUGUCUGUGUUUCAGGGGCAAGCGUCAUUAAGCAGGCUGGCCUUAGGUCUUUCUCCUGAACCUGAGGUAAGAUUAAAAGAGAUGGGAUGAUAAAAAGCCCGCCUGCUGGCGGUUUAUCAUCCGAGAUUUAAAAAGCAGGAUAAGCAUGUAGAAGCCUGAGAGUAGUACUUUCGGACGCGGGUUCAAUUCCCGCCGCCUCCACCA